rnacentral:tRNA from 1 species
GCCGAGGUGGCGGAGCGGCUACGCGUCCGACUGCAGAUCGGAUUAUGGGAGUUCAGAUCUCCCAUCGGCU